rnacentral:rRNA from 1 species
AACUCUAAGCCAUCACUUAAAGCUAAGCCUGCUCCAUGACAUAAAUAGCCGCAGAUCAACUGUGCUAAGGUAGCAUAAUCAUUAGCCCUUUAAUUAAGGGAUCGCAUGAACGGCCACACGAAUCGUCUUCUGUCUCCGACACUUUCAAUGAAUCUGAUUUAGGAGUAAAAAAGCUCCUAUAAAUUAACAAGACGAUAAGACCCUGUCAAACUUCACCUUUAGUUUAACUGGGGCGGUUAAAUAAUUAUACCUUACUCUACCACACCCACAAAUCCAAACCAUUUGACUACGAACCAAGUUACUGCAGGGAUAACAGCGCAAUACUUUUUUAGAGAUCCAAUCCGAAAAAGACCUUACGACCUCGAUGUUGAAUUAAAUCCCUUUUUCACGCAAGAGUAAAAAAAGGAAGUCUGUUCGACUUUUAAAUAU